AAAAAGCUCGUAGUUGAAUCUGUGUCCCACACUGUCGGUUCACCGCUCGCGGUGUUCAACUGGCACGUCUGUGGGACGUCCUACCGGUGGGCUUAGCCCGUCAAAAGGCGGCCCAACUCAAAAUCCUACCACGGUGCUCUUCACCGAGUGUCGAGGUGGGCCGGUACGUUUACUUUGAACAAAUUAGAGUGCUUAAAGCAGGCUCAUUCGCCUGAAUAUUCUGUGCAUGGAAUAAUGGAAUAGGACCUCGGUUCUAUUUUGUUGGUUUUCGGAACUCCGAGGUAAUGAUUAAUUGGGACAACUGGGGGCAUUCGUAUUGCGACGUUAGAGGUGAAAUUCUUGGAUCGUCGCAAGACGGACAGAAGCGAAAGAAAUGUGUUUUCAUCAAUCAAGAACGAAAGUUAGAGGUUCGAAGGCGAUCAGAUACCGCCCUAGUUCUAACCAUAAACGAUGCCAGCUAGCGAUCCGCCGAAGUUCCUCCGAUGACUCGGCGGGCAGCUUCCGGGAAACCAAAGCUUUUGGGUUCCGGGGGAAGUAUGGUUGCAAAGCUGAAACUUAAAGGAAUUGACGGAAGGGCACCACCAGGAGUGGAGCCUGCGGCUUAAUUUGACUCAACACGGGAAACCUCACCAGGCCCGGACACCGGAAGGAUUGACAGAUUGAGAGCUCUUUCUUGAUUCGGUGGGUGGUGGUGCAUGGCCGCUCUUAGUUGGUGGAGCAAUUUGUCUGGUUAAUUCCGAUAACGAACGAGACUCUAGCCUGCUAAAUAGGCGUACUUUCCGGUAUCUCGAAGGCCCGCCGGUCGGCUUCGGUCCGUGUGUGGUUUUUACUACCGGCGUACACAUAUAUCUUUUUAGAGGGACAGGUGGCAUUUAGCCGCACGAAAUUGAGCAAUAGCAGGUCUGUGAUGCCCUUAGAUGUUCUGGGCCGCACGCGCGCUACACUGAAGGGAUCAGCAGGUUUUCCUUGGCCGAAAGGUCCGGGUAAUCCGUUGAAGCCCCUUCGUGCUAGGGAUUGGGGNUUGCAAUUCUUCCCCAUGAACGAGGAAUUCCCAGUAAGCGCGAGUCAUAAGCUUGCGUUGAUUACGUCCCUGCCCUUUGUGCACACCGCCCGUCGCUACUACUGAUGAAUGAUUUAGUGAGNUCUUCGGACCGGUGCGCGGCAUUGCCGAUGUUGCUGGGAAGAUGACCAAACU
rnacentral:rRNA from 1 species